GUGCAGAGAGAAUCCCCCCUUGACUGCGUGGCGUUUUCUUUGUAGUAAAGGGCGGCCUGUAAGUUUCGCUCGGAAAUCCCCACAAGCACGUCAUCCUUUGAAAAUACAAUUUGCAGCCUCCAAGGGAAAGUGUGAGCUGGAGUGGGGAGAAAAGGAAGAGGAAGCUGUUGUGCAAAAGGAGCUGCAGCACUGGAUAUGACCCAUGGCCCUGCAAAUAUACAGACAACCUAGAAAAUUACUGAAAGAAGCACCCACCAAACAUCCCAGAACAGAAAGAAGUACAAGAAUUUCUACCCAGAGUGUGGUGCAGCCCCUUCAGUCUAUUCAUAAGACCAGUUUUUUAAACAUGAAAGUUGAAUGUUACUGGAUAGAUCAUGAAUAAAUCGUAAGCUGAAUGGUCAAUGCACUGGAAAGGACAAUAUAAAGAAUUCAAGCAUCUUUAGAACCUUAGCUACAGCUUUUUGCAGCAUCUUGCUCUUCAAAAACAUGGCCUAUUUUCUCUGACAAAAUGUGUUAGAUGUAAUUGCUUGCCACAGCAAGCAUCCUAAAAAUAUGACAAAGGAAAGUGUGUAUGAUGCAGAAAAUUCUGCUUCACACAAAUCAAGAUCUAGGUACAAUCAAGAUAAAAGCAUAAGGUGGAAACUUUGGCAAACAGGUGCACAGACUAUUUGGAAUUGAGUCCAACACGUAUUUGCUUUACACAACCAUUUGAGAUAAAAGUUAUCAUGUAAAUCCUCAACUUGAAAAAAGCAAGGUUUCUCUAUUCUGCAUGCAAAAUUCUGCAUGAUCUUUCCCAUUAAUCAUGCUAUGCCGCUAUAUACAUAUACAACUUAAGAACAGAAUGGUACUCUACACUGUAUUUCAGCAUGACCAGUAGACAAAAGAGGGAUACUUUCUGCUCCACAUAAAAUUUACAACCACAGAAAUGGCAUAAGCCCUCAAAAAAGUUACUUCAGUUCCUUGAAUAAG